rnacentral:rRNA from 1 species
UGAGCAACCUGCCCUUGACUCUGGAAUAACAGUUGGAAACAGCUGCUAAUACCGGAUACGACCUCCGACGGCAUCAUCUGGAGGUGGAAAGCUCCGACGGUCAAGGAUGGGCUCGCGGCCUAUCAGCUUGUUGGUGAGGUAACGGCUCACCAAGGCGACGACGGGUAGCUGGUCUGAGAGGAUGGCCAGCCACAGUUGGGACUGAGACACGGCCCAGAUCCUAACG